rnacentral:rRNA from 1 species
ACGCCGCGUGCCGGAUGAAGGCCCUAUGGGUUGUAAACGGCUUUUAAGCAGGAAGAACGACCGGAUUUCGAUCUGGUGUGACGGUACUGCUUGAAUAAGCACCGGCUAACUCCGUGCCAGCAGCCGCGGUAAUACGGAGGGUGCAAGCGUUGUCCGGAAUCAUUGGGUGUAAAGGGUGCGUAGGCGGGCGUCUAAGUCUGGGGUGAAAUCUUGCCGCUUAACGGUAAAAUGGCCUUGGAUACUGGGCGUCUUGAGUGUAGAAGAGGUAAGUGGAAUUCGUAGUGUAGCGGUGAAAUGCAUAGAUAUUACGAAGAACAUCAGUGGCGAAGGCGGCUUACUGGUCUACAACUGACGCUGAGGCACGAAAGCGUGGGGAGCGAACAGGAUUAGAUACCCUGGUAGUCCACGCUGUAAACGAUGCAUACUAGGUGUUGGCCUUUCGGGGCCAGUGCUGCAGUUAACGCAUUAAGUAUGCCACCUGGGGAGUACGUCGGCAACGAUGAAACUCAAAUGAAUUGACGG